AAAACCCCUAAUUUUCCUUUAAACCACAGAUUGAAAUUAAGCAAAAACCAACAACUCCAAAACUAAAUUACCAUGUAUUACAUGAUUUAAUCAUAAAAAAAUUAAAAAUCUUUCAAGAUAACUUCAUACAAAAGGGUGAAUAUUUUUUCUGAAUUUACCCAAAUUUUUAAGCAAACUUAUGCACCCACUUAAGGAAAAGAAAAAAAAGAUACUGAAUCAAUAAGUUUUUACAGUUUUAGGGAACCAAAAAACCCAAGAGUGAAUCGGAUGAUGCAUAGAGUUGAAUCCCAAUGGAUGUAGCUCUUAAAAUUGCUUCUUUCCUUGCGGUGCUACAUCUUUCCUCCUUGGGCUGUUGUUCUCAAGUCUAGCCGGGGCUUAUGGGAGCCACUACUCAAACACAGACCCUCUCUUUUGUAUGAAGCAACUUCAAGGUUUUUAAAGUAUUUUUUAAUGAUUAAAUCAUGUAAUUCAGCUUUACAAUUGUUGGUUUUGGCUUAUUUUUUAAAAGUAUUUUCCAUCACCUUUACCACCGCCACCCGUUGUAACAUAUUCCUCACCACCACCAGUUCAUUACCAUCAUCAUCACCACCUCCAGCUCCUGUGUAUGAGGGACCAUUGCCACCAAUAAUUUUAGUGUCGUACACUUCACCUCCUCCUCCACCUUUCUAUUGAUUCUUUUGAGAAAUUUCCUCCUCUCAUAACCUUCUUCAAAAAAAGAAAAAAGAAAUUGUUCACAAAAUUGUAUUUGGCUAUCAUCACGGCUUAUUUUUCUUCUUCUUAUUUGCGCCUCAUUAUCACCAAAAAAACAACUAUUCUUUCUCCUUGGGGAGCAAUUCUCAUCGCUCAUUGAAGAUAUUCAUGCGAAAAGAACGUCUACUAUCAUUGAAGAUGGUGGAAAAAAGAGAGAGGAUAAAAAGACGAGAAUUCUAUAUUUAGUAGAAAAUUGUUAUUGGUAUUUGGAGUUGUGAAAUAAAAAUGGCAUGGACAAGAGAGUAGGUUGCAGAGAAUGUUGUAUGUACAGAGAUGAGAAUUUCAUAACCAUCAUUUUCCAGGCUUACAAUGGCAGCCGUCGCUGCCGCCGCCGCUGCUACAGCUGCUAGUUUGUGGCUUUUUAUUGUUAUUCCAAUAACAUUUCACUUGUAUUUGAUUAUUCUUCAGAAUUUAGUUAUUCCAUUCAUGUUCUCUAUUAUGAGUUUUGACUUAUGCACAUCAUUGUCGAUUAUGCAUUUCUUUUGCGUUUUGGCUGACAUUACAAUUUGAAUGUUGAACAAUUACCCUACUUAAGAA